AAAAGGAAGAGGAAGGUCCCACUUUUUGGUCAAUCUUAUCUCUGAUGUUUUGUCCACUAAAUACCAUUUUGCGCCAUCCAAUUAUGGAACGGGCGAUCUCAGCCUGGAAAGUUUUGGGUUCGAACCCCACUUGUUUCUGCUGCUGCGGCUGCGGCUGCGGCUGCUCAAUUUCCCAUCUCGCCUUGCUCAUCACUUCGUCGCGUAUGGGCACGUACUCCUGAAACAAAACCAACUACAGUCUCAGGUCCUUGGCGUUGGGUGCGGACACUAUGAUGUUGCGUUGUGAUGGUUUUAUGAACCCAUCGUCCACUGCUUGGUCGAUGAAAGUGAGGAGAUAGUUGUAGUAGCCGUCCACGUUCAGCAAGCCAACCUGAGAUAGAGGAACAUUAAAGGUGGGGUCAAAAAAGAAGAUGUAGAUUCUUUUUGAGCAAUAGGGCCAUUGCUUCCAAGAUUGAUUACGAUUGCAGAUCAGAAGAGGGAGAGGUUCAGAAGAAAAAAGAUAUCCCCACAUGGCUGAAUAGGAGGAGGGCACAUUGAAGUGGCAGUCUUGAGAAAUCACACAAACUUUUUGUGUUGUAUCCUCUUGCAUUUGUAGUUUUAUCCCUACACAGAAUUCCAACCCUCAGAAGAAACUUUUUGUGCCAUAUUCUCUUGCAUUAAAGCCUCCUUCACUUCCCCCACAGUAUUUGUAUACAUUUUCAAACCAUAUAGGACAUAUUACUAUGAUUCUAUCUAAAAAUAAGUCGGGUUAAAUCCCAGGUUAGUCCUAAAA